rnacentral:ncRNA from 1 species
AGAUGUAGUCGUAGAGCGCGACUACGGUAAUCAAAAAAAAGCUCACUGAGA